GACGAACCGAGCGAACGUUGUUCGGAAUCACUGGGCUUAAAGGGCGCGUAGGCGGGCCUCCAAGUCAAGGGUGAAAUCCCCCGGCUCAACCGGGGAAGUGCCUCUGAUACUGGGGGUCUCGAGGGAGGUAGGGGCGUGCGGAACUUCCGGUGGAGCGGUGAAAUGCGUAGAUAUCGGAAGGAACACCGGUGGCGAAAGCGGCACGCUGGACCUCUUCUGACGCUGAGGCGCGAAAGCCAGGGGAGCGAACGGG
rnacentral:rRNA from 1 species